UUAAUAAUAAUUAAAACUCAACAACCUUCGAUAAAUAAAGAAAUAGACAUUAAAGGCAGAACAUUUAGGUAUGACAUUAGCUGUUGAACCAGACGAUGUGCUGAUGUAGGGCAGACGUACAGCAGAUACAGGUUGUCCAUAUAUUAAAAGGGAUUGAUCAUGGUGAAGGUACAAAGCUGCAAAAAUGAUGACUGUGCAUCGAUCAAUAUCCACUCAAUAAUAUGAAAACACGAUGAAAACAAACGAACCAGCAGCAGAAAAGAAAUUUGAGUAUAAGAUUAUUGAAAGAUUAAUCAAUGAAGACUUAAUGGAACAGGAUUGGAAUGCAGAAACUUUGGACUUAAUUCAUGAAUAAUAUCAAUGGAUGAUGAAGAAAACUGACCAAACUGACAAAGUAUUUCGUAUGCAUGUAAACUGGACAUUUUUGUUUGUUUAAUGCACAAUAAACAAAUUUGUAAAAUUGAAAAUUAAAACCAUUUGUGAAAGAUUUCAAGAGGACCAAAAGUUUCCAUGGACUUAUGAAU